AUUGAACGCUGGCGGCAGGCCUAACACAUGCAAGUCGAGCGGAUGAAGGGAGCUUGCUCCUGGAUUCAGCGGCGGACGGGUGAGUAAUGCCUAGGAAUCUGCCUGGUAGUGGGGGAUAACGUCCGGAAACGGGCGCUAAUACCGCAUACGUCCUGAGGGAGAAAGUGGGGGAUCUUCGGACCUCACGCUAUCAGAUGAGCCUAGGUCGGAUUAGCUAGUUGGUGGGGUAAAGGCCUACCAAGGCGACGAUCCGUAACUGGUCUGAGAGGAUGAUCAGUCACACUGGAACUGAGACACGGUCCAGACUCCUACGGGAGGCAGCAGUGGGGAAUAUUGGACGAUGGGCGAAAGCCUGAUCCAGCCAUGUCGCGUGUGUGAAGAAGGUCUUCGGAUUGUAAAGCACUUUAAGUUGGGAGGAAGGGCAGUAAGUUAAUACCUUGCUGUUUUGACGUUACCAACAGAAUAAGCACCGGCUAACUUCGUG
rnacentral:rRNA from 1 species